rnacentral:rRNA from 1 species
CUACGGGCGGCUGCAGUGAGGAAUAUUGCACAAUGGGGGGAACCCUGAUGCAGCAACGCCGCGUGGAGGAUGACGCAUUUCGGUGUGUAAACUCCUUUUAUAUGUCAAGAAAAUGACGGUAGCAUAUGAAUAAGCACCGACUAAGCUCCGUGCCAGCAGCCGCGGUAAUACGGAGGGUGCAAGCGUUACUCGGAAUCACUGGGCGUAAAGGACGCGUAGGCUGGUUGGAAAGUCAGGUGUGAAAUCCUACAGCUUAACUGUAGAACUGCACUUGAAACUUCUAAUCUAGAGUAUGGGAGGGGGAGAUGGAAUUAGUGGUGUAGGGGUAAAAUCCGUAGAUAUCACUAGGAAUACCUAAAGCGAAGGCGAUCUCCUGGAACAUUACUGACGCUAAGGCGUGAAAGCGUGGGGAGCAAACAGGAUUAGAUACCCUCGUAGUC